UACAGAGGGGGCAAGCGUUAUUCGGAAUUAUUGGGCGUAAAGGGUGCGUAGGCGGCUUGGCAAGUGGAAGGUGAAAUCCCUCGGCUUAACCGAGGAACUGCCCUCCAAACUGCUUCGCUUGAGACCGGGAGAGGUGAGUGGAAUUCCCAGUGUAGCGGUGAAAUGCGUAGAUAUACGGAGGAACACCAGCGGCGAAGGCGGGUAGCUGGGCCAACACUGACGCUGAUGCGCGAAAGCUAGGGUAGCAAACGGG
rnacentral:rRNA from 1 species